CAAAAAUGGCCACGGUAUGGAGGAUCUUCGCUGGACGGUCAAAAUAAAGGCCUCUGAAGAUUAUCUUACAACUGCUGAGCUGGAAAGGACCCUAUGGAUCAGUGAAUCCAGCCCCUGUCAUGGAGGCACAAUGGGGAAUGAAACUCCCAAACUCUGGCUCCACAACCAGAUGCCUAAACCACUGAGCUCAUAUCUUGAAAACCACACAUGCACCCGUAUUUGUGUCUAUGUUAAAUGAAGAAAUUUAAGAAGAUACUGUAUUUCAUUAACCGCUCCACGCCAACUGCAGCAUAGAUGCUGGACAAAGCUUCAUCAGUGGCACAGAAAUUGCUGGCUUCUUCAGAUAUAAUUGUGACUAACUCAUUCAUCUUGGCAGCAAGAACUAGGAGACACUCAUAUUAGAAGGUCAACCAUGGAAAGCUGCACAUGCCAAGCCAUCCUCUUUCCAUGCCAGCUUGGCAAAAGUGGUCCUGAAAAACGUCCCGGAUUGCCCUUGGCAGACUCCUGCACUCACAGAUGUGAAGAGAGUCAGCUGCAAGUCUUGGGCUCAAGAAGAGCUGUGUUGGGACAAAUCAAAGACCUUGUCAAGCAUUCUCUUCCUAGAUACCUAUGGAAUGCCCAACAGUGGGGCUAGAGAGUGACAGUAACUCACUGACUAUAUUCACCAUCAACUUUCAUUGAGAUUUACAUGGCCUCCAUUACUGGAGACAAUAGCUCUCACCUGUGAUAACCACUGAUGACCUUAUCGUUCACAAAUUUAUCUAAUCUCCUUUCAAAGUCAGGCUGUUGUCACUGCAUUUUGUAGAAGCAAAGGCCAUAGUUCAGUUGUGUGCUGUAUGAAGUGCUUCUUUAUGAUGAUUGUGUGAGCAGGUGCAUGUAUGCAAACUGAAGAGGCACUACAUUUAUUUUGGCAUUGGUCUCUCUCUCUCUCUCUC